UACGUAGGGAGCAAGCGUUUGUUCGGAUUUACUGGGCGUAAAGGGCUCGUAGGCGGCCAACUAAGUCAUACGUGAAAUCCCUCGGCUUAACCGGGGAACUGCGUCUGAUACUGGAUGGCUUGAGUUCGGGAGAGGGAUGCGGAAUUCCAGGUGUAGCGGUGAAAUGCGUAGAUAUCUGGAGGAACACCGGUGGCGAAGGCGGCUCUCUGGACCGAUACUGACGCUGAGGCGCGAAAGCGUGGGGAGCAAACAGG
rnacentral:rRNA from 1 species